rnacentral:lncRNA from 1 species
GUAAAAAGAGAAUUGGAUUGUAUAUAUCGAAGAAAAGAACGCAUAUAUUUUUAUAACUUCGCGCAUAUUUAUCUUUUGGAUUUCACUCUUACAACUGUUUGCCCAUCGAAGAGCAUACAAAAUUUUACACUCGAAAUGGAGAUAUUAUAAAUAUUUUACAAAUAUAUGGUAUUAUUAAGCAGAUUAAAUUAUGUGCUUUAAAUCCUUUCACACUUCUAAUCGAACGUGCACCGUCCAUAAAUGAAGUCCUUCUAAUUGUAACUUUGAUGUUUAUUGCCUGAAACUUUCAUGUUGGUUCAAAGUCAAUGUCACAGCAAGUAAACAUGAAAGUUACAAUUACAAAACAAGCAUGUAAUUAACAUUAACAAAUCAUGCAACGCAGUGGCGUAACGUUAUAUCAGGGGGCCCCCGGUUCAAAAUUUUCGAAGGCCCUCCCCCCAUAGUAGAAAUGCCGAAUGCACGAGUUGAGCGCCGUAUAUGCACGAGUUUUCCGGAAAAUUUUUGAAUCUAGACUCUCUGAAAUGCCAUUUCCCGGACUUUGGGGAGAGAUUUUACAGAAUUCUGAUGGUCAUAAAACGACAUUGUAACAUAUCAGAGGCCCUGACCAAUGUAUUUGCUCUACAGCCUGAGCCUGGGGGCCCCCAUUUGGACCAUUGGGGUUGGGGGCCCCCGGGUUCUCCCGGUCUGAGCCCAUAGUAGUUACGCCA